GAUCAUGGCUCAGGACGAACGCUGGCGGCGUGCUUAACACAUGCAAGUCGAGCGGUAAGGCUCCUUCGGGAGUACACGAGCGGCGAACGGGUGAGUAACACGUGAGCAAUCUGCCCUUCUCUUCGGAAUAACCAUUGGAAACGAUGGCUAAUGCCGAAUAUGACUCCGGACUGCAUGGUCUGGAGUGGAAAGCUCCGGCGGAGAAGGAUGAGCUCGCGGCCUAUCAGCUUG
rnacentral:rRNA from 1 species